CACCUACGGGUGGCAGCAGUGGGGAAUUUUGGACAAUGGGCGAAAGCCUGAUCCAGCAAUGCCGCGUGCAGGAUGAAGGCCUUCGGGUUGUAAACUGCUUUUGUACGGAACGAAAAGGUUGAGGCUAAUAUCCUUGGCUCAUGACGGUACCGUAAGAAUAAGCACCGGCUAACUACGUGCCAGCAGCCGCGGUAAUACGUAGGGUGCAAGCGUUAAUCGGAAUUACUGGGCGUAAAGCGUGCGCAGGCGGUGAUGUAAGACAGAGGUGAAAUCCCCGGGCUCAACCUGGGAACUGCCUUUGUGACUGCAUCGCUGGAGUACGGCAGAGGGGGAUGGAAUUCCGCGUGUAGCAGUGAAAUGCGUAGAUAUGCGGAGGAACACCGAUGGCGAAGGCAAUCCCCUGGGCCUGUACUGACGCUCAUGCACGAAAGCGUGGGGAGCAAACAGGAUUAGAUACCCUGGUAGUCCACGCCCUAAACGAUGUCAACUGGUUGUUGGGUCUUAACUGACUCAGUAACGAAGCUAACGCGUGAAGUGACCGCC
rnacentral:rRNA from 1 species